AGACAUAUUUUCAAAGAGUGCUAGACCAUUUGGAGAUGGAGAUUAUGAUGCCAUACCAAGGAAAGAUCUUGAUAUGGCUCGGUGGUAUGUGUUGAAUAAUUGCGAAGAAGCAGAAUCUUUUCUUCAAGAGCAUAAAGAAGAGUUGGUGAAACAAGAUGUUGGGAAUAUAGAAGAGAAACACAGAGAACAAUUUCCUUUAUGGUUUAAAAGGAAAAUUUUGAAAUUAUAUAAUAAGGACAAGUCAAUGUCUAUCAAGAAAUUAUAUCCUUUGGCAAUGGAAUCGAUGUGCGUGGAAGAAAACAUACUUGCCGUGUUAUAAAUGGUGUUAGGUAUCUUAUUCAACGACGCGAUGAAUUACGUAAAAGUCGAAUUGUGGUAUAGUUGUUGCGAGCUAUCAUGAAAAUGAGUUGAUUGAUUUUUAUGGUAUUAUAACCGACAUCAUUGAGUUAGAGUAUGUUGAUGAGAAUCGAGUUUUUCUAUUUAAAUGCACGUGGUUUGAUCUUCGCAAGAAAACAGGGAUGCAAAAAGAUAAACAUUUUACGAGCAUAUGUGUUAAAAGAUUUUGGUAUGAACAUGAUUCUUUCGUACUAGCUACUCAAGCAAAACAAGUAUUUUACAUUGAUGACCCAAAAUUGGGGGAAAAUUGGCGAAUUGUGCUCAAAUUUCAAGAUAGACACUUAUAUGAUGUCCCGAGAAGGAAAAUUCGGAGACGAAAGUGAUGAGUCGCAUAUUACAAAUAAUGAUGUGUAUCAAGACAUGUCACUUGAAAGUAAUUCGAUUGUCAAUGAUACGGUGGAUAUGUUGAGUAAACUACAUAGAGAUGAUGUUGAACCGAUUACCCUGGAUACAAAUGUAAUUGAAUUGGAGGCUCAAACAGAACCAGAAGUUGAAGUUGAUUAUAUCGAAGAAGAUUCUGACCAAGAGGAUGAGACUAUGGUAGAGUACAUAAGUGAUAAUGAGGAGAAUGAAGGUAAUAAUAGUACUAAUGAUGAUGAAGCUGAUAGCACAGGUGAUGGCGACGACAUUGGCUUGUGAUGUAAUCUCAUAAUAGUAAGCCAAGUGAUGUAGAUGGUGAACCUACAUCACCCAUGGACACAAGAAGAUCAUCCGGUGGUAGUAAUCCUAGUGACAACUAUUAAAGUUCGUUGAAUUUGGAUUAAAUAUAUGAAAAUGUGAUUGUGUGGUUAGAAUGGAUGUUAGAAUGGCUAGAGUGAAUAUUGGGUUUAAAUUUAGUUUGUAAGGCUGAUGAUCGUACUUUAUGAUGAUAUUUUUUGUGUUGUUAAAAUAUGUUGAUAUUUCUUAUAGUUAAUAUUCCUUUUUUAGGUUUGAUUGUGAGAUAUAUAGGUUAAUAUGCCUUUUUAGAUUUGAAAUGAAUUUGGGGAGCCAUUUCUUAUGCUCAAAGUGGCGAGAAAUGUGAUAAAGUUGAAUCACGUCGUGCCACGAUGUUAAAUGUGGCACUUGGUGGGAGGCAACCUAUCGAUUUCAAAAUUCUUAGUCGUUUUUUGGAAUUUUCUUUUUUAGAAUAGUUUAUUAUAUUAUUUUUUACUAAUAUACCAAGUUUCAUGUUAUUUGGAAUUAAUUGGACAGGUUUAAGGGGUUGAAGUUGGUUAAAAUAGUGCAAAACUUUUCUUGGUUAAAAUAGUGCAAAAGUUUUCUUGCUUAAAACAGUGCAAAGUUCUCUGCCAGUUACAUGGAGUGCAGGCACAAAGAAGUCCCAAAGUGUUUUGUGGUUCAGAUGGUUUGCCUUAUUUUGGGUCCAGGUAAGUGUUAGACCAUUCACCUCUCCUAUUUAUUUCACUGUAACUCCCAGUUCCCCGACUCCCCUACACCUUUCACGACCACGAGGUAUGCUCCUCUUCUCUUCUCUUUAUCUCCCUCUCCCUUGCUUUCUCUUUGCUGGCAGAAUUUUGUUUUCAUCAUUUCUAUACCUGUGGUUUCUUUGUGUGGAAUUUAGAUAACAAAUCGUGAGAAUCUGGUGCUGUUGUUUGAUCGUGAUGAAUAUAUGAUUGUUGAACUAUAAUUACCACUUUUUGGGAGGGUAACUCUAUUAUCCCGUUGUCACAAAAAACUUGGUUAAAGUUAUGCACAUAACCAGUUCGAUAUAUUGUCUGAAAGACGAUUUCAUUCGCCAAUGAAGUCUAGGUAACCAGGUGAAAUUAGGAGAUGCGUAGAAGUGCGUUUUGGGUAGUGCCGGUUGGCUUUAAAGUGUUCUGUUAAGAUUUGACCAAUUUAUAAGGAAAUGAAAAUUGGGGAGAGGAAAAGUGUUACACGGAGCAGUAUGCUAAUCUAUAGCCAUGAAUUUUGAAUUGCUGAAUUGCAUUGUUUUAUUUGUUUUCUUGAGUUGAGCCUUUGAUAAACAUGAUCUUCAUUUUAUUGUAUGAUCAAUGAAUUCUGUCAGUAAACUGAAUGGUCAAUCACUGUGGUAAGCACCUGCAUGUAGCUUACGGCGAAUCUGGAAUUCAUUGUUUCCGGAAAAAUGUGCACGGUUAAGGGCACAUGAAAAGUUUAUGUGCGCCAACUUUAGAAAUUCUAUUUUCUGAAAAUAAGUAGACAAUGAAUAGUGAUGUGCCAAAAUUCACUUGUUUCUGAAGGUCCUUUUUAGAUGCUACUAAUUUUAAUUUCCCAUUCUGACAAAGAUGGUCAUUAUAGGUGACAGUGUGUGCUAUCCUUUAAAAGAAAAGUAUUACAAUUCUAAAGUGAAAAUCGUGUCUAUAUGUAAUAAUGUAAAUGUGUGGUAUACCUUUUCCACUUAAUAUAAUCUGAGUAAGACAACAGGAAUAGAGGAAGGCAUAAACAAUUAGUCUACUGCUUCUUGGAUUGUGUUUUGCUAGUAGUUUUUAUGCUUUAGAUCCUAGCUUCUGUGGGAGUAAUAUCUCCAUCCGUGCAGGAAACUCUUAUUGUUCACAUAGCUUGUUUUAAUAUUUGAGGAUCUAGUACAUCUUACAACAUGUUUCAGGUCAAAAUAUAUGCUUGUGAGGAUUGGUUUGCACCUGAUGCUUGUAUGAUGAGCCUAGAAAAACAUCCUUGGGAGUUGGGAGAGUUGUAGCAUCUCACUACUUAUGCUAUAUUUUGCUUCCCUGUAGCAUUACUUUAAAGAUAUCAAAGUAGUAUAAUGUUUUAAAUACCUGUUUCUAUAAUAUAUAAAUCGCUAUAUUGAACUUAUAGCUAAUUUUCUUUUGUUUGUGGAAAUACAGGACCAACAAGAAGCUUGUAAGACAAGACGAAGCAGAACCAUUCAUGGGCUUGGGUCGUUUUGCUCGAGCCUAUUUGCUGGGAUACAACUGCGAUGAUGAGAAGGAAUUGGAAGAGUCGCUUAGCGCUUUUGAUGAUUUAACUGUUUAUUACCGCCGAAGGAUGUUGUGGGUUGUUAAGGAUCCUUUCACCUUGAACCAGAGGUCUCGAGUUCUAGUUUCGGAAAUGAGGAUCAUCUCGGUCGGAAGCACUCACCCACCCCCUCCUAGCGGGCCUUCCGGCGCGUUCGGAUUAGUCGGGUGGAUCGUCGAUGUUCAGAAAUGGAACAAUUUACAGUUUUGUUUAUCAUGUAAUUAUAACUUGUAUAAUUUAAGUUAAAAUUUUAAAAUCUUGUAUAGUUUUUCACUUAAUAUUCUGCAUCUGGGUGUUGCUUUUCUCGACCUAUCAUUUGACGAUCCAUAAAAAUAA